GGCGUUUUCAGGAACAUUGGCUCACCCUCUAUCAGUGUCAGUGAUAAUGCUGGGAUAAAACACCACAGCAUGCUUUCAUGAAGCAAGCCGCCAUGUUGGAGCAGCCCUCCUGGAAAAGAGCUGAGGAUGGCCUCUGGCCAACAGCCAGUGAGAAACUGAAUUCUGCCAACAGCCAUGUGAGUGAGCUUGGAUGCAGAUCCUUCCCCAGUCAAGUCUCAGAUGAGACCACAGCCCUGGAUGACACCUUGUCUACAGACUUGUGAGACCCAGAAACAGAGGACCUGGUUGAGCCAUGCCUG
rnacentral:lncRNA from 10 species